rnacentral:rRNA from 1 species
UGGGGGAUAUUGCACAAUGGAGGAAACUCUGAUGCAGCGACGCCGCGUGAGGGAAGACGGUCUUCGGAUUGUAAACCUCUGUCUUUAGGGACGAAAAAAUGACGGUACCUAAGGAGGAAGCCACGGCUAACUACGUGCCAGCAGCCGCGGUAAUACGUAGGUGGCAAGCGUUGUCCGGAAUUACUGGGUGUAAAGGGAGCGUAGGCGGGGAGACAAGUUGAAUGUUUAAACUAUCGGCUCAACUGAUAGUCGCGUUCAAAACUAUCACUCUUGAGUGCAGUAGAGGUAGGCGGAAUUCCUAGUGUAGCGGUGAAAUGCGUAGAUAUUAGGAGGAACACCAGUGGCGAAGGCGGCCUACUGGGCUGUAACUGACGCUGAGGCUCGAAAGCGUGGGUAGCAAACAGG